UAAAAAUAAAAAAAAAAAAAUAUUAAAAAAAUAAAAUAAAAAAAAGAAGUUAGCUGGAUUAGUCAUCUUCUAGUUCUAACUCUAUGUGUUUAUAUCAAUAAUUAUUUAUAUUGCCGAAGUACACUUUUGCUUAUUAUUUGUUUUAUUUGUUAAUUUGUGGAUAGAGAUUUGGACUAUAAUUGGUCUGGUCUGAUUUCAGGCCAUGUGGAGAUCACCAGCCAUGUCUUCUCUUGUGAGUCUGUCUCUCUUUUUAUUGUGAUUGUUGGAGUUUAGUCUCUGAUAUUGAUUUUGAACUAGUUGAUGAUUUUACAGAUUGGCCAAUUAACUCGAGUAGGUAUUGCUAGGAUACAAAGUCCUAACUGCAGCUACCAUUCAAUGGUGCAAGCUCAAGUUUCUAAUAGAAAUACUACAAGAUCUACUUCCCUGUUAGAGGUACUUUAACAAAUACAUUACUGAAUUACCUUUGUGCUUUUAUGCAUUGUUUCGCUAUUAAAUUUGACAUAAAAUAACACUAUGUUGGAGAGUUUACGGGAUUAUGUAUAAAACAAAAUUUGGGUACUUAAUGGAAUGUGAUCUACUUUAGUGAUUUCAUUACUACCUUGGAGCUUGCAUGCCCGAAGGGUUAUAGAAGACUAUGUGGUAGAUUUUCUAAUUGUCAGUUGAUCUCUAGGUACCUUGGCAGUUUGUUUGAUAAACAAACAUUUUAAUGCACGAUGUGCAAGUGGUCUUGAAUUUUAACUGCUAAAUAGAAAGCCCUGUUUUUGGAAGUUGAAUGUGACACUUCCUUGACUCCUUGUGAUGUUUUGUUCUAUGAGAAAUAGCUAGAGAUGAGCUUCUUAGGUUUCUUUAUAAGUCCCAAUUCACGAAGAAUUUAUGGAGUCAGUAAACCUAAUUUCCUUCCUGUAGGUGUGUUCCAUGUUUAAGUCAAAUGGAAAUGUUGAAGUCUCCUCUAAGAAUCAACCUGAGGAUGCUCAUCAGCUUCAGCUCCAAUUUUCCUAACCACAUUUAACAUUACAAGCAUUACAAGGGGCAAUCAUGUCCUUUAUUUUCAUAAAGAUGGUGUCUAGUUUUCUCUCAAGUAUUUGAAUAUGGUUUCAAAUGACUUGAUUUGGUUCCCAAUGGGUAGCCUGAAUGAAUUACAAUUCUUAAGUGAAAUUGGGUGAGAAAAAUACAUCGGAAAUGCUUAAUUUAUGUUAUUGAACACCUUUUUCUGUGAAAUCUAAUGGAUUAAGAAUGGUUGAUUACUUGAUUUGGUUGUAACAUUCUAGAAUCAAUAUGAUCGCAAAGCUAAAUGUGAGAAUUCAGACCAGAAUGCUGGAGGAGUGCAGAAAUUCCGGAUUGGGGAGAAUGUUUCCAGGAAGGAUAAGAUCAACUUUCUUGUAAACACGCUUCUUGAUCUCAAGGAUAGUAAAGAGGCUGUUUAUGGUGCUCUUGAUGCCUGGGUUGCGUGGGAGCGCAAUUUCCCUAUUGGGUCACUCAAGAUGGUUCUGCUCACUCUUGAAAAGGAACAGCAGUGGCACAGAGUUGUUCAGGUAAUUAAAUGGAUGCUAAGCAAGGGGCAGGGAAAUACAAUGGGAACAUACGGGCAGUUAAUACAAGCUUUAGAUAAGGACCAUAGAGCAGAAGAAGCACACGUGUUUUGGUUGAAGAAAAUUGGUACAGAUCUUCACUCGGUGCCCUGGCAGUUGUGCAAGUGCAUGAUAUCCAUAUACUAUAGAAACAACAUGCUAGAGAACCUCAUAAAGCUUUUCAAGGGCCUAGAAGCAUUUGAUCGCAAACCUCCAGAAAAAUCAAUUGUACAGAAAGUGGCAGAUGCAUACGAGAUGUUAGGUAUGCUUGAGGAGAAAGAACGUUUACUACAAAAGUAUAAUGAUCUUUUCAAAGAGAAGGAGAAAGAAGGCCUCAAGAAAUCUAGAAAGACCUCAUCUAAGAAGUCAGGUAAGCCCUUCUUAAGCAUGAACAUUGAUAUGCCAAUUUCAUAUCACAAAUAAAUUACAUAUUUUAAACUGUCAGAAGCUAAAUUAUCUAACAUGAUAUGCAUCAUUUUAUCAGGAAAUAAAAAGUGUUGACCAGCUAGUAAUUUAACAUCUGCCUAGCAUCUUAUGGUCAGUACAAAGGAGCUAACCUCACCUCAUUUUCUAGUAAUCCAUGCAGUGAAUUGAUAUGAUGUAUUCUUUGAGUUAAGACAGAAGCAUAUACCUUACCUGAUCAAAUAUAUGCAAGUCAAGUUGUGCCUGUGACUAUGUCAAAAACUUACACUAAAUUUGGUGCAUAAAUUACUUUUCAUUUGUUAAGCUCCAUAUGUCCUUGUUAUCUAUAUAUUAGUUUUCAUGUUCUUGUCGAUCGUGGCAUUGCGUCUGUGUUCUAGAUUAAUGAAAAAAAAAAAGGGGAGCUCCUUUGUUUCUAAUUCUUAAUGCUUAUUCAGGGCAGAGUAAACACAAACCAAAUUCGGAAGCCCUUACUGAAAGCAUACAAUCAGAGUUUAUCAGAGAGAAAUGAUUUUUUCUAGUGCAAAAAUGGGUAACUCUUCCAUUGAACAGCAUCUUUGCCUCUCAGCUGCCAUACCAUGAAACACUUUUGAAUCUUCAAGGUACUUCAAGCAUGGUUAGCCACUUGAUACACCAAUGCUUUGGAGAGCAUGUAUUAUAUUGUGAACAGGGCAACGAUAUACUGAUUCACUUAUUUCUGUGAGCCAAUGGAAGGUUUUCUACUUCAAAUCCCAAGUUUUCUUGCCCAGGAUGAUGGUAUAUGUGAUCCCAUUUUUUGGGUGAACCAUGAUCUGACUGCGCUUUCAUUUGUGGAAAGAUUAUCUGAGAUGGGGGUCUUGUUUGAGUGCUGGAUUGAUACUGUUUGAUGGUUUGGCACAUUAGACCUUCACAAUUGAGUUUGUCAAGCAUGUAACAAGUAUCUUAAAUUUGUAUUUGGGCAUCAACGGAUUUAAUUUUCUUCUUUAACUCUCCUCUUCCUCUUCAAAUGAUCAAAUGCUUUCAAUAUGUGAAGGAUAUGCUACAUGUAUAUUUCGAAAAUUUUAAAUUUUUUAAUUUAUAAUAAUUGAUUAGCAAAAAA
rnacentral:misc_RNA from 1 species